GGUACUCUUAGAACACAUCACGUAAUUAGUUAACAAAAUUACAUUGGUUUUCGAAAUAACCAACACCUUUGGGCAGAAAGAAAUUUCUAGUCCAAGGUAAACUCGUUAACUGCCUUAUGUCAUUUUCCAAAAAUAUCACAUAUAACAAUACCUUUGAGCAAGAUGUUAUAUGCAAUAAAUCAAGAUUGUUGCACAAAUACUUAUAUUUUUAUUGUAGAGAAAAUCGAAUAAAUAAUAAUGAGUGUGCCACUUGGCAGCUACUACCCAUUUUUAUUUCAAAAUAUUUCUCUUAGUGGGAAAACAAGAAUCGUC
rnacentral:lncRNA from 1 species